UACAAUAGUAUCAAAACCCUUACGGAAGCAGAAGUACUCAACUUCGUGUAUCCCUUGAGGCGGAUUAAGAACUCUGGAUACUAACAAACUGUCUUGUACCAGGUCGAAUAAAGCAAUUUUGUGUUAAGAAAUUCUUACAGCUCUACUUGGUGAAAUUUCCCUAGUACCUCUUCUAUUCCAGUUCGAAUAAAGCAAUUUUGUGCAAUUGGGUUUUUUCGAUUUAAUGGGUAUCUCUCAAUUCGAUUUUGUAAGGUCUUUUGAGCUCUGUGCAUCUAGAAAUGCCAAUCUGGUGGUGGGUUUAUUGCAUUUGUUCAGUACUUCAAGGUUACAUAUAUAAUGGGUCUAAUAGACUCCAACAAUGAACACUGUAGCUGUAUUUGGUGCAAGGAUGGUUCUUUAUAAAUUUUCAUCGUAUAGUUCAUUCAUUUCGAGAAAAUUAUGUGACUAUAGUUUUGAUAGUGACAAAAGUGGUAAUGGGUUUGAGUACAUUGAGGAACCCUUGAAGAGAGCAUGGAGAUAUUCAGAUUUUGAUUCUUCAGGAUAUGAAAGCUGUAAUGAAGAGCAUUUCUCCCCAAGGCAGCGUUUCUUUGAGUACGUGAGGAGCGACGCUGCAAGAGUUCUUGAUAUUCUACGACGGGAUGGCCUUGGCUUCAAUGCAAAAGCUUCUCUAAGUGAGUUGCAUAUAAGGGUCUCAGGGCUUCUUGUCAGGGAGGUCCUUGUGGGGAUUUUGAAGAACAUAAAUUAUGAGAAUAAAGAAAGGUCUGCUAUAUUAGGGUAUACUUUUUUCUUGUGGUCCGGUCAGCAGGAAAAGUACAGGCAUACUGUGAAUACUUAUCAUUUGAUAAUGAAGAUAUUAGCAGAAUGUGAGGAGUUUAAGGCAAUGUGGAGACUGCUUGAUGAAAUGGUUGAGAAUGGUUUCUCAACUACAGCACGGACAUUUAACAUAUUGAUCUGUACUUGUGGUGAGGCAGGAUUGGCUAGGAAAGUCGUGGAGAGGUUCAUUAAAUCGAAGAAAUUCAAUUAUAGGCCAUUCAAACAUUGUUACAAUGCAAUCCUAUAUUCACUUUUUGCAGUUCAUCAAUACAAGCUGAUUGAGUGGGUACAUCAGCACAUGCUAGUUGAGGGUUAUUCCCCAGAUAUUCUAACUUAUAAUAUUCUUAUGUGUACAAAGUAUAGAUUGGGGAAGUUGGAUCAGUUUAAUAGAUUGCUUGAUGAAAUGGCUAGGAGUGGAUUUUCUCCAGAUUUUCAUACUUAUAAUAUCCUUCUCCAUGUUCUUGGUAAAGGGGACAAGCCACUUGCGGCACUUAAUCUUUUGAAUCAUAUGAAGGACGUUGGCUUUGAUCCCAAUGUCCUUCACUUCACUACUUUGAUAGAUGGACUAAGCCGAGCUGGGAAUUUAGAUGCCUGCAAGUAUUUCUUUGAAGAAAUGAUAAAAAAUGGAUGCAAGCCAGAUGUUGUUUGUUACACUGUAAUGAUCACAGGAUACAUAAUGGCAGGAGAGCUUGAAAAGGCUCAGGCAUUGUUUGAUGAGAUGACAGCCAGGGGCCAGUUGCCAAAUGUAUUUACCUAUAAUUCUAUGAUUCGUGGGUUUUGUAUGGCAGGGAGGUUUAAGGAGGCCUGUUCCAUGCUCAAUGAAAUGGAAUCCAGAGGAUGUAGUCCUAAUUUUCUUGUGUACAGCACCCUGGUGAGCAAUAUGCAGAAUGCUGGAAAGCUUUCUGAAGCCCGUGAAGUAAUAAGACAGAUGGUGGAGAAGGGGCAAUAUGCCCAUCUAGUCUCAAGGUUCAGCGAAUAUAGGAGAUGCUGAAGUAAUAGACCAUCUGCCUUGGAGAAUUUUUUCUGUAACGUCACUAGUAUAAUACUUAUCGAUUUGGCUCAGGUUGAUGACUCGUAUCUCCCUGUCUUUAAUAGAUGUCCUGGAAAUUGAAAGGUGCGUGGAGCUACAUACUAGGAUGAUUCAAGAAGUGCAGGGGAAAAGCUAAGAACUGCAUGCUCAAGGAUGUAUUUACCAUCAAUCUGAUCUGUCCCCUUAACGGGAGCAAAAGUGGGCUUUUUGGUCAAUCUAGAGCACGAGUCUCCUUUUAUUGCUGCUUGGCUGGUUUCCUUUUCAUCUGAAGUCUGAACCAUGUUUAAAGGAAUGGCCUAGUGAAGACGACUUUAGGCUUACACAUAAACUGAUAGUUUGGUGAUGGUCAUCAAAGCUGAUGUCAUAAGCUUGUCUAGUUUAUGAUUUUCCUCUCAUGACCUUAAUAACAUCCCUUAGAAGUCAGCAACCUCAAACAGCUGGAUGCUGAUGGGAUUACAGAUCCACUGUUUUUGUUCUCCAUGAUGCUUUUCUGCUGCUGUGAUUCUCUAUGCCGUUAUCUUGUGAUAUCAUUCUUGACAAAGUCCAACGCUGUGAACAUGAUAUUGGAUUCUAAAUUUAUCUGUGAUCAUGACCAAAAGCUGGAGAUAAUCUGGAAAUUCUGCUUCAGCUAAAGAUAUGCAGAAGCAUGCCAAGGCACCCUACGCUGGAUUUGUAUUGAGAACAGACACAGUCACUGUUCAGGUUUUGUCAGCAUCAUCUAUAGCAAUGAGCAGCCCUGCUUCAAUCUGUCUUUCACUUUAACCCUUAGUCCUUCAACUUGUUCUUUUAUCAUGCAACAACCUAUAACAGAAUGAAUACUUCCAGAAGGCCACCUUGAAACUAAUUUUCAUCUCGUCUGAUCUGUUGAGAGGCAGGAGAUUUAUAUAUUGGAGAUCUAGCCCUAAAUAGAGAAUAAUGCUCAAGUGAUUGGUAAAACUUCAUUGACUAACUACAGCCAAAACCUGCUGAAGUAUGAUGCUAAAUAUUCAUGUAGUAUGAGGUUGACUUCACCGUCUCCUAUUACUCAUUUUCUGGAUCAUUCUUGAUAUCUUUUGCAUUUGUAAAACUAAUAGACUAACCAACAGGUUUCAUAUGAUUGUAAACCCCCUAGAAUUUAUCAAGUGACAUCUCUUUGCAAUUUUAUCGCCAUUAAGCUUUCACGAAA